rnacentral:rRNA from 1 species
UUUUUAUGUGGACCUCUGUUCUUGUGCCUUGUGUGCUUGGAUGGAACCACAUAAGCAGGUGAAACUUCUUAGAGGAACUGGCGCCCAAAAAGGCGCACGAGAAAGAGCAAUAACAGGUCUGUGAUGCCCUAAGAUGUCCGGGGCCGCACGCGUGCUACAAUGACGAUGCUACUGAGCAUGAUUUACUUGUCCGAAAGGACUGGUGAAACUGUUCAAUCAUCGUCGUGACUGGGAUUGGGGUUUGUAAUUAUCCCCCAUGAACCAGGAAUUCCUAGUAAGCACAAGUCAUAAGCUUGUGCUGAUUACGUCCCUGCCCUUUGUACACACCGCCCGUCGCUACUACCGAUUGAAUGGUUUAGCAAGGACAUUGGAUUGAGCCCUUGCGGUUUCGGCUGCUUGGGUUUGAGAAGAUGUCCGAACUUGAUCAUUUAGAGGAAGUAAAAGUCGUAACAAGGUUUCCGUAGGUGAACCUGCGGAAGGAUCAUUACCAAGUUUCCUAAACCUAUAUGCUGUCUGUUAACCAGAUUGUCAUUUGCCCAUGUCCGGGGAUUAUGCCCCACUGCAUGAGCGACCUGUGAUACAGAAAUGAACUUGACGGUUCGGGUUGUAACACUCUUACGGCCUGCGCUUGUCCUGUUCAUCCGCCGACUCUGGACUGAAGUGGCCAUGUAGUCUUGUGUAGGUGGUAACGUUCUACACUUGACUUAUUGGACACAUCUAUGAAUUGCAAAUGUUCAGUCAGAGACCCGGUACGUUGCGAACAUUCUCCCUUCGGGUGAGUCCUCUGUGUAUUUCCAAAUAUUUUAAACAACCAUGGCUAAGUUCAGUGCUGCGUUGGUAGUUCACUACUGACAAUGCGCUGUUCUGGCCCGGUGCGCGUUGCCUUCGGGUGACAAACGCCAACCUUACAACUG